GCGCCUGUGGCUCAAAGGGGUAGGGCGCUGGUCCCAUAUGCCAGAGGUGGCGGGUUCAAACCCAGCCCUGGCCA
rfam:Otolemur garnettii contig035468, whole genome shotgun sequence.